UGUUGGCACAAAGAGAGGCUCUGGUAGUCCGGUGGCCAGUUGGAAACCCUUCACAUGUGACCUCAAGUUUCAAAAAGGAGUCAGUAAAGACAAAGGCAGUUUUGGGCAGCAGAAUGUGUUGAUUUGAAAUUCUGAGCGGCCGUGGCAUGCAGCAGGGUGACAACCAGGAUGCUCUAAUGGCCACGGACCUAGGACAGUGGCUUUCAGAAAGGACAGGUCUGGCAGCAUUCCCCAUUGUAAAUAUAGGGCAUAUCUCUUGAAGCAGUAGACUCUCUUUCAAAAGAAGAAACAACUUGGUCACCCCUGGACCAUUGGAAAGUAUUCCAAGUCCUGAUGUACAAAGAGUUUUGGAAAUGACCAUCACUAAAAUCAGAUCAGAAACAAAGAGUGUGAGAGUGGGAGGAAACAGGGGAGGGAGAAGCAAGAUGGUAAUCAGAAUGAUAUGGUUACAGUCACUAUUUCAUGAGCCAACAUAACUACAAUAAAA